GUUGGAUUCACAACAAACAGUUUUAACCAAACCGAAGAUUAGAGGGUCGAAUUGAACUAAAAAAACAGUUGAAAACUUUUAACCAAACUUAGAUUCUGCAAAAGAGAUGAGCCUCCGGGAACCUUGGCAAGUGACUCAGAACAGCAGCUGUAAAAAAUUGUAGAAAGAAUAAUAUUUACAGUGUUGGAGCAAAAUGAGAACCACCAAAUUCAGAAGCAACAGUAAAAUUUGGAAUAUUUAACCAUAUGUAAGGGGUAAUAAUAUCUACACUCCCAUGAAUGCUCGAGACAUGGAUUCCCA
rnacentral:misc_RNA from 1 species